CGGGGGGAGCAAGCGUUGUUCGGAUUUACUGGGCGUAAAGGGCGCGUAGGCGGCCACCGCAAGUCGACUGUGAAAUCUCCGGGCUUAACUCGGAAAGGUCAGCCGAUACUGCGGGGCUAGAGUGCAGAAGGGGCAACUGGAAUUCUCGGUGUAGCGGUGAAAUGCGUAGAUAUCGAGAGGAACACCUGCGGCGAAGGCGGGUUGCUGGGCUGACACUGACGCUGAUGCGCGAAAGCUAGGGGAGCGAACGGGAUUAGAUACCCCGGUAGUCCUAGCCUUAAACGAUGAAUGCUUGGUGUCUGGGGUUUUAUAGUCCCCGGGUGCCGUCGCUAACGCUUUAAGCAUUCCGCCUGGGGAGUACGGUCGCAAGACUG
rnacentral:rRNA from 1 species